GUUUCGUUACUGUGACGGGUGGAAGGGGUUGCCCUUAGCAGGUGUACAGCCCGUCACCUGAUUGUGCCUGGUGCACGUGACGUGACGUUACACGGUAGCUCACAGUGACCCGCACUUCCUAUUUGUUUUAAAUGCCAUUCACGCGGCAAACGCAGCAUGUUUGGUUUGGCUCUGUCGGCGGUGAAUAUUAAGCACAAUACGGAUCUGCUUGUUCGUUGGAAUAUAACGCCAGUAGGAUUGUGAAGUGUUGCCUCUAACAGACGAACAGUUUUCACACCUACAACGCAUUUGGAACACUGGCGUCUUAACAUCGCAUGCGGGAUUUUAUGAGGAACACUGUAUAUCACUGUUUUUCCCAUAGCUAAUUUAUGAUGAGACAAGCACUUGAAUUGAGCUACUAGCCUGCAUAGUGUUGCUGUAAAACCACCUUCCGUUUACUUGUUUGUUGUCUUGGCGAGUUUUAUUUUCUUUCUGUUUUAUUCCUUUGGGUCAGUCGUAGCUGGGGCUAUCAUAGAGGGGAGUCCUUAUCCGCUUGCAACUUGUGUGUGCUGUGCAACGCCCGCUACUAGGGGCCGUAGUGGGAAGUGUGUGAUUUGUGGUGUAGUGGAUAGCCAUUGUGACUUGCCGUUGGUGUGGUGU